UAAAAACCAGCGAUCUCUUCGACUACAACAGACCAACUGAGGUUUGCUUUGGAAAACUCUUCCCGGCAGUCCUCUAGAUAGCCGCCAAGAUGUUGAAGCACCUGUUCAUCCUCGGCCUGAUCAUCAUGCCGAUCUUCGCCCAAUACUUCAGCGGAGGCGGUGGCGGCGGUGGCGGCGGCGGUGGCGGCGGCCCAGGAGGAUCCGGCUUUGGUGCCGGUUUCGGCUUUGGCUCUGCUCCCGGCGGCGGUGGCGGUGGCGGCGGCGGCGGUGGUGGCUCCAACGGUGGCUUCGGAUUUGGUGCUGGGUUUGGUUCCGGUGGCAGCUUUUUUAAUGAUCCACCCACAGUCCAAAAUUACAGAAAUUACAGAGGAGGGUAUUACAGAGGCUAUCGGCGAUAUUAAAUCACCCUAUGUAACGAAUUGUAUCUACCUACCAUAAAGGGUUCAAGUUUACUACGGGUUUGUAAUAUGAAGAUUCCCAAGACGUCUUUUCUCGACUGCCGUGUCUAAUGUUUGGAAGACUUCGAGCAUCAACUGUUGUGAAAACUUGGAUUCAUCGUAUCUACAGUGUGAUUUUAUACUUCCUCAGACUUUAUACUACCAUAGACUUCAUUUUCAUGUCGUGUUGAAAUCAUAUUCAUAGUUUUCAUGGUUUCAUUUUUUCGUCAUACAGUCAACAAAAGAAUAAGAUUCAGUAGCCAACAGUACGCCAGUAUGUACAUGUACUCGCUGUUGCUGGACAGAUUUUUGUACCUUUAUCGUGAUGGAACGAAAUAAAUUUACCUCCUUUA